AGCUGAAGUGAUUUGACUGUUUUCAUCCAAGUCUCCUGAGAAUCCAGCAACUCCCUUGACGUGUGGCUUCUACAAACUCCCACCUGGUCUGGAGGGUUCUGUAUGUAGGUAAUGAUGCCUUGGGACUUUUUCUCCUCACCUGAAGUUGUACAGUGGUAGAGAAACAAGACUGGCUAUGAGUUGUCAGCAGAGAAGAUAAAAGCUGUCAGCCACGGACUGGAGUUGAGAAAGGGCAUGGGAAACUGAGAAAGCGACCAGAAUCGCUGGCGAUCCACUGGCUGGCGCAAUGCUGAAUCUCGAUGAGACCGCUUAGGAAUCCAGGAGAGCUGAACGUCCGGAUGAAUUCGCUGAAGGAAAAGUCGCUGGGCACCCCGAAGGGAACUCAGCCUAAAUCCACCUGCUUUGACUCCGCCUCCAGCUCUUCCCGCAGCUGGCGCUCAUCAGCUCGCUGGCUACACAAGGGUUUUCAUGUGGGGAGAUGCGUGCCCCGCGGCCUUGUGCACCAGCCUGCCUCAGCAUUCUCUGCUUGGCUUCCCACAUCUUGUGCCGCGCGCCGCUGCUGCUGACAUCGGCAGAGAGUUCCAGAAGGUUGGGCCUGUGGAGCAUUCAGUGCUGUGCUCGCCACAGAGCCAGUUUUAGGUAGUUCAUUUUGAGUCACGCUGGGACCUCAACAUACCUAUUUUGUUAUUCCUUAGGUAUGCUUGUUACAAUGAUGGUGGCGUAGUAGAAUGUCUCAACUAAACCUUAACCUGUGGCCUCACCCACAGAGAAGGCGUGUUUUUAUGUCAAGUUUCUAUACACAUGCAGCACAUGGGUGUGUUACAGAGCUUUCUCUUCUGUUCUGCUGGCCCAGCUGACUGUUCCUGAGCCAGUGCUAUGCUGUUGUUACUAUGGUUUAUCCUGUGUUGCACUGAGCAAGUCUCCCUUCUUUGCUUUGUCAAAAAGUUAACUUACUGGGGCGCCUGGGUGGCUCAGUCGGUUAAGCAUCCGACUUCGGCUCAGGUCAUGAUCUCACGGUCCGUGGGUUCGAGCCCCGCGUCGGGCUCUGUGCUCACAGCUCAGAGCCUGGAGCCUGUUUCAGAUUCUGUGUCUCCCUCUCUCUCUGACCCUACCCCGUUCAUGCUCUGUCUCUCUCUGUCUCAAAAAUAAAUAAAACAUUUAAAAAAAAUUAACUUAUUUCUUGAGCUCUCCCAAAAGAAAUCCAACUGGAAUUUUGAGCGGGAUUGCACUGACUUUGUAGGUUAAUCAUUAAUGUAAUUAGGUCUUUAUAGAGUCAUCCAAGAUAGGUCACCCUAUAUUAGGUCACCUAGCCCAAAAGCAUGGAACGUACUCUUUAUUCAGAUCAUUUCGUUUUCUUUAUUAAAAUUUCAAAAACCUGU